GAUGAACGCUGGCGGCGUGCCUAAUACAUGCAAGUCGAGCGAACAGAUGAGGAGCUUGCUCCUCUGACGUUAGCGGCGGACGGGUGAGUAACACGUGGAUAACCGACCUAUAAGACUGGGAUAACUUCGGGAAACCGGAGCUAAUACCGGAUAAUAUAUUGAACCGCAUGGUUCAAUAGUGAAAGACGGUUUUCCUGUCACUUAUAGAUGGAUCCGCGCCGCAUUAGCUAGUUGGUAAGGUAACGGCUUACCAAGGCAACGAUGCGUAGCCGACCUGAGAGGGCGAUCGGCCACACUGGAACUGAGACACGGUCCAGACUCCUACGGGAGGCAGCAGUAGGGAAUCUUCCGCAAUGGGCGAAAGCCUGACGGAGCAACGCCGCGUGAGUGAUGAAGGUCUUCGGAUCGUAAAACUCUGUUAUUAGGGAAGAACAAAUGUGUAAGUAACUAUGCACGUCUUGACGGUACCUAAUCAGAAAGCCACGGCUAACUACGUG
rnacentral:rRNA from 1 species